rnacentral:lncRNA from 1 species
UGUAUACAUGGAUACCAAUAUGAGUAACUUCAUGCUUUCCAGGCUGAAGAACCCCCAAAUUAUCAACAUUCACACACAAGGAUCAGAUCUAUAAUAUGGACAAGAUGGCAGAAGCUCCAAGUGCCAACAGAUAGCCUUGAGGGUGGAGAAUCAGGAAGGUAGAUGGAGAAUGGAUCUCUGAAGCUGUCAUACCAGUUCUAGAAAGCCGACCUCUUGACUUCUUAUCCAUGAGAGAGUUAUCACCCAAUAUACUGAAGCUACAGAAUUUGGAUCUCUGUUGUAGCUGCUGACCCAAUUACUAAUGGAUAGUGUUGUCAUGAAAGGGUUUCC